GUACACCAGUUCUCGUACGACCACUGAAGUUAAGCAAUGACGAGCCUGGUCAGUAUCUAGACAGGUGACCGCUUGAGAAUACCAGACGUUGUA